CAAUGUAUGAUUCUAUAUUAUUCAUUCAUUGUUUCUUCUCAUCUCCUAACUUAUGACAACAAUAGGUAAUACUGUACUAUCUUAAAAGACUAUAUAAAAUAUUCUCUUCCCAAUUACUAGAAUUCUCCAAAACUAAUUGCCAUUCCUAGUAAUUUGCUUCACACAAUUCCAAACUCUACAAUCUUCUUCUUGGUGCAUUCUCAAC
rnacentral:lncRNA from 1 species